CCAAAAUCAAGAGUUGGAUGCUUAGCCCACUGAGCCACCCAGGUGCCCCACCCCAAGUUUUAAAUUAGAUUAUUCUUGACUGACAGUUUUUUAUCUUUCAAUACUUUAAAUAUGUCAUUCUCCUCUCUCCAGGCCUGUAGAGUUACUGCCAAAGAUCUGCUGAUAGCCUAAUGGGAGCUUUGUUUUUUGUUUGUUUUGUUUUCGUUUUUGUCAGUUACUUUCUUUCCUUGGUUGCCUUUAAAAUUCUUUAUCAUUGACUUUUGACAGCUUCACUGUAACGUAUCUCGGAGAAGGUAGUUUUGCAUUGAGAUAAUAUGGUAUUCUAUUAGCUUCACGGACUUGGAUACGCAGUUCCUUCCUCAGGUUUGGGAAGUGUCCUUAAAUAACCUCUCUGCCUUCUUCCCCUCUCCGUCUUCAUGUAUAUAUGCCCAUUAUUCUUAUGUUCACUCUCCUAACAGAGUCUAGUAAUUCUCAGAGGAUUUCUUCACUUUUAAAAGAUCUUCUGUCUCUUACACUGGAAUCAUUUCUAGAUUCCUGUCUUCCAGAUUGCUUAUUCUCUCUUCCAUCUUAUCUGCUCUAUUUCCAAUGCUUUCCAAUGCAUUCCUUAUCUCCUUUAUUGAGUUCUUCAGCUCCAGAAUUUGUUUGGUUCUUUUUUAGAAUUUCAGUCUCCUUGGUAAAGCACUCCCAUUCAUUAAUUUUAUUCUUGAGUUCACUGAAUUGCCUGAGUUUUUUUACAGAGCUUGUUGAAUUUCUUCAUUACAGCUGUCAAAAAUGAGUGACUUCACAAUACUCCAUGUUUCUAUUUGGUUGCUGAAGAUCUGUCAUUUUCUGUUUGUGAUACCGUAUUACUGUGAUGUUUUUUACUGGCAUUCGAUGAAACGGGCUUCUGUCGCUGCCCUUGAAAUACUGAACACUGUUCACACUUGGUCCGCAGCCAAGGAGGCCUCUCAGCAAGUUGGGCUCUAAGGAAGAGCAGCCAGCCCCUCCAGCUGCAGACGCCUCCCGCCAGUCUCACCCUCCACCUUCUUCGCUGCUGCCUACUGCUGCCGGUGCCACUGUCUCUGCUGCCACCCCAGCGCCACGGCCGCCGCCCCCCUGUUGCCGCCGCCCGAUUCCUCUGUCUCUGCAGCCUCCCCGAGGUCCAGCCCCCCCCCCCCCCCCCCCCCGCCCCGGCCCCCUGCGGGGAUGGACGGACCGCUUCAGUCCCGGUGGAUGUCUGACUAGCUGUAAACGGAGGGGGAGGCACGAAAGCAAUGGCUCACGGGGCCGUGACCGUUUUUCUCGAAGGUUCGAACCGUCGGUUUUUGCAGAUCACAGGUUGCUUUGCGUUUUUAACUGGGACUUCUGUUUUAACCCCAGCAGUGAGUCUCAUCUUCUCAAGCUUGCAGUGAGUGCAGUUCGUGAGAGAAUACAACUGCAGAAAGGUCCAGAAAUUCUGGGCUUUUCCAGACACGGCUGCCUCUGGUAUAGAGCUGCCAGGGGCGCUCUGUGCCUGCUGGGUCGGGAGGAGCCCGGUAGGGGCCGCGACGCCGCUGUCCUUGAAGGCCGCUGUGUCCCUAAGCACAGGCUUCCGGGCACAGGCCCAGAAGUACGACUGAAGGAAAUAGCGGAACCUGAUCCUUCCUUUUCUCUGAAUUCACCCGUGGCCUUUAGUGUUUCAGGCAGGACCUGAUCCUUUCUUUUCUCUAAAUGCAGCCUGUGUCCUGUAGAGUUUCAGGCAGGGUAGAUUUCUGACUCAUUCAUUAGCCUUUAUCUUCUAUUUUGAAUAAUAGUGUCGAAAUAAAAAAAUUGGGAAGACCACGUGUUAGAAAAUGUAAAUCUAACCCCAAACGAUAAAAGACAAUUGAUUUCAACCUUCUGAA